ACAAAAUGCUAGCAGAGUAACCAUGUCCCCAGAAAAUAUACUCUAAACAAAUCAGAAAAGACCUGAAGCAGUGGGAUAAGAAAGGGAAAGAGAGAAAAAAGAAAAAGAAAAAAAAAGAAAAAGAUAAAGAUAAAAACAAAAACAAACAAAACAAAACAACAACAACAACAACAAAAACCAGAAUGUGAUCAAAUAUGAUCAGGCUGGUAUAUAGAUCAGUGCCACACACUAGAUUUGGGGUGUAUUUUGGUCUUUUAGAAGAAAGUGCCUCCCAAAAUUUUAAGAAAGAAAAACUUACAUAUGUACAAAAAUAAGGGUUGAUAUGAUGAAGGGAUGGAAUAUGACUGUAAAAAUGGAAAUUAUAAAAAAUUUUAUAAAAGGAAUUGAUAAGAAGUUGUUUGAAAAAAGAAAAAAGAGGAUUUAAAAAAAGAAAAAAGAAAAAGAAAAAAAAAGGGAGAGGAUGUGAUCAGGCAGGGGAAUAGAAAACACCAUAUACUAGAGAUUUAGGGUAUAUUUUAAUCUGUUAGAAGAAACUAUCUCAAAAUUUUAAAGAGAGAACAACUUAUAUAUAUAAGCCAAAAAUAUGGGUAACUACUAUGAAGGGAUAGACUAUGACUCUAAAAAUGAAAAAUAAAAAUGUUUUUUUUUUUAAAAAAAGGGAUUGAUAAGAUGUUGGUUGAAAAAGGGAAAAAGAAAAAUUCAAAAAGAAAUAAAAAGACAAAAAGACAGUUAAAAAAAUUAACUUUAAAAGACUAAAGAAUCGUGGUAAGAAAGCCGUGAAUUCUAUGUGCAGUAGUCCCCUAGCACUGGAGUUCUGCCGCUCUCAUUGAUCAGUAAACUUGGUCUUGGCUGGCUGUUCUUGCUGAUCUUCUGGGGAGGGGCCUGUUGCCGUGGUUUCCAAAUGUCUCUGCCGGAGGCGGAAUUGCCCCGCCCUUGCCCCCUCCCGGCUAAGUAAUCUGCUCGGGUUUGCUCUCCGGGGCUUUUGUUCCCUGCGAGCUUUCCUUACAGCUUUGGAGGUGGAGAGUGAAAAUGGCGGCCUCCCAAUCUCCGCCCUGGAGGAGCCGAGAACUCGGGGCCCGCUCCUCAGUGAGCCCCCAGAGAAAAGCCGUCAGUCACUCCCGUCUCCCCGGUCUCCGGCCGCACUCCGCUCACCCGGCCUGUGACCGUGCGUUUCUAUCUCUGGCACCCAACCCGGGGUGGAGUCUCCAAACCCAGCAGAUCCCUGCGGUGCCCUUCCGCGCGGCUCCUCACAGGGGAGGAAGAGAGAGAGAGAGCACAAGCAGGGGGAGUGACAGGCAGAGGGAGGAGAAGCAGGCUCCUCAAGGAGCAGGAAACCUGAUGCGGGGCUCGAUCCCAGGACCCUGGGAUCAUGACCUGAGCUGAAGGCAGAUGCUGACCUGACUGAGCCACCCAGGUUAGCCCACAGUCAUAAAUCCCCAGUCCAUAAAGAAGGAAACACAGGAUGUGGGAGGCUGUGGGUGGCAGCAGUCAGAGGAACCAGAAAGCAGAACCGAAAUGAACCGAGGACAGUUUGGUGACGAGUAGAAGCCUUUGGCCAUGAACAUCAUUUAAUCAUAGGUGCUACAUCAGCAAGAUGAGAAGUUAUAGCUAGAAAAAAGAAGACACGGGGUCUCCAGGAAACAGAGCUCCAAUCCAAGUGUUGGAAGACAGGAUUCAUCAGGGUGAUGGUGGAGGGGGUUUGGCCUGGGUUCGGGCAGGGGUAGGGUGCGUCUGAAGUUCAGUGAGAGGUAUGUGACUACAAUGAAACUGAAAGCACACCUGAGCUGUCUGAGCGUAUUGAGAAGAUGCUGACACCAUAGGGGAGGAUUCGUGGUUGAAUUCAUAAUUGAAAACUCAGCAAAUGACACUCCAGAGCAAACAAACUGUUCAUUAAGGAAGGGAAAGACACAUUAUGCUGCAUGAGUCAAUAAAAGCGUUUACUUGGUCAUAACAAAACACUGACCCAACCAAAAUCACAGUGUAUUUAUAUUUGAAUGAUGAAGAGUGCAGAGGGAGUAGGAGCUGGGGAGAAAGAGAGCAAAUCAUCUUCUGUUGAGAGAUAUUAGUGGCCAAUGCCUAAACAUUAAAAACUCAAGCAGUAGCCGUAUACACAUGUUGCUUAGAAGUAAGGACGUACCAGAUGAAAGUAUCAUCUAAAAGAGCAGAGAAAGGAAGUGGGAGUCUAAAAUUAGAUGAGAGAGUGAGGAGGGGCAGGAACAGUGAAGAAAGGAGAGUUAGGACUAGGUGAGAGAGAUGGGUUAAGUUAAAUCUAUGGGCCUGGGCAACUGGCUGGAUAAGAGAGGGCUGGAAAAGGAUGACAGGGGGCCCAGGCAGGGUAACUGUGAAGUUGCUAACAGAAUUCAGAGAAGAGAAUUCCAGAGAAGACAUGGGUUAUAGUAGGGGCAGAUAAAGGAAGACAGCGGAAUAUGGUAGAAAUACAAUGGCUCAGGAGUAUGAAGAUCUUAAUUCUGCCGCUUUGUCUAUGUGGCCUUGGACAGACCACAUAACCUCUGUGGGUUGCAGUAUCCUUACUACCAAGUGAGAGAGGCAGUAGAGCAUAGUGGUGAGGAACCCACUCUCUGGAACUGGAUUGCCCACGUUCAAAUACCACUAAACCUCAUGCUCCCACCCCAGUUACUAGCCAUGUGGUUCGGCUCAUUUACCUAACUUCUGUGUGCCUCAUUUUCCUCAUCUGUAAAUGGAGAUAAUAAUAUCCACAUUAU